rnacentral:rRNA from 1 species
GAUGAACGCUGGCGGCGUGCCUAAUACAUGCCAGUCGAGCGAACGGACGAGAAGCUUGCUUCUCUGAUGUUAGCGGCGGACGGGUGAGUAACACGUGGAUAACCUACCUAUAAGACUGGGAUAACUUCGGGAAACCGGAGCUAAUACCGGAUGAUAUUUUGAACCGCAUGGUUCAAAAGUGAAAGACGGUCUUGCUGUCACUUAUAGAUGGAUCCGCGCUGCAUUAGCUAGUUGGUAAGGUAACGGCUUACCAAGGCAACGAUGCAUAGCCGACCUGAGAGGGUGAUCGGCCACACUGGAACUGAGACACGGUCCAGACUCCUACGGGAGGCAGCAGUAGGGAAUCUUCCGCAAUGGGCGAAAGCCUGACGGAGCAACGCCGCGUGAGUGAUGAAGGUCUUCGGAUCGUAAAACUUUGUUAUUAGGGAAGAACAUAUGUGUAAGUAACUGUGCACAUCUUGACGGUACCUAAUCAGAAAGCCACGGCUAACUACGUG